AGAGUUUGAUCCUGGCUCAGAUUGAACGCUGGCGGCAUGCCUUACACAUGCAAGUCGAACGGCAGCACGGGAGCAAUCCUGGUGGCGAGUGGCGAACGGGUGAGUAAUAUAUCGGAACGUGCCCAGUCGUGGGGGAUAACGCAGCGAAAGCUGUGCUAAUACCGCAUACGAUCUCUGGAUGAAAGCGGGGGACUCGUAAGAGCCUCGCGCGAUUGGAGCGGCCGAUAUCAGAUUAGCUAGUUGGUGGGGUAAAGGCCCACCAAGGCGACGAUCUGUAGCUGGUCUGAGAGGACGACCAGCCACACUGGAACUGAGACACGGUCCAGACUCCUACGGGAGGCAGCAGUGGGGAAUUUUGGACAAUGGGCGCAAGCCUGAUCCAGCAAUGCCGCGUGCAGGAUGAAGGCCUUCGGGUUGUAAACUGCUUUUGUACGGAACGAAAAGGUCUGCCUUAAUACGGUGGGCCCAUGACGGUACCGUAAGAAUAAGCACCGGCUAACUACGUGCCAGCAGCCGCGGUAAUACGUAGGGUGCGAGCGUUAAUCGGAAUUACUGGGCGUAAAGCGUGCGCAGGCGGUUAUAUAAGACAGAUGUGAAAUCCCCGGGCUCAACCU
rnacentral:rRNA from 1 species